AGGUCAGAAGACUAACAUGGGCCAUACCACGUUUAACUCAAGGUGUCAGCAGGCCUGCCUUCCUUAUAGGAGGCUCUGGUGAAAAAUUGACUUCCAAGCUCCAAGUUCCAGGACCAGAAAGGUCCAGACACCUGGACUGAUUUCUGAGGUCACACUGACUUUUCCACGCUAAUGAGACAGGGAACCUAGCACAGUUCUAGGUAAUCAACUCACAUCAGGCAAAAAGAUAAAAGGAAACAGGUAAACUACCAUGAAGAGGAAAGAGCAGGAACCAAUUCUGCAGGUGGGGACAGCGAGUAUACUUCAUUGGACUGGAGUACAGGCAGGCAAGGAGAGGAAGAGCCUCAAGGUGAAUAAAGGAGGGCCCUGAGCAUUUCAACUUAAGCUGAAAACCCAAGGCACUGGUAUUCCCCUCUGUGGAGAGACAGUGGCUCUCCUCCAAGUGGUUUUCCCUCCAGGGGACAUUCGACAUGCUUGGUUCUCAAAACUGGGCCGAGGUGGGCACCACUGGCAUCUGGUGGACAUCUAGAGGCCAAGGAUGCUGUUAAACAUCCUACAAUGCACAGGACACAGCCAAGAUUUAUCCAGCCCCCGAUGUCAAUGGCACUAAGGUUGAGAAACCCCGAUCUAGAGUCAUCAAAUGCAGCUGGUAUAAUUAGAGCUUUUCUUCAUGAAGAUUAAUGUAUGCAAAAGCAGUUUUGGCUAGGAGGGGGUGACUGAGACAGGGAGGCCAGUGGCUGGUGAUUAUAGUGUCUACGGAGGAAAGGAUGAGUCUAUCGAUGCAAAUUGGGCCUUUGCGUUCUGCUUGAAGGAAGCGGGAGGAAAAGCACAGUGACAGAAUUCUGAACAAGUGGUCCAAAAUUACCCUGAUCUGAUGAAGUGGGAAAAGUACUGCAUGAUUUUCAGCGACAGGCUCUUCUCCUCCAGAGAAAACUGCCCCUCGUAGGCUGGGUAGAAGGGAAGCCCCAAGGCAAACUGAACAUCCGCCAGCAGCUCCAGGCUGAGAAAACAGAGGAAAAGCAGCAGCAAAAGGUCAAGAGAAAGUAAACUACUCAAAAACACAAACACACAAACAAAAAUAUUUCUUCCAAAACCAAGACUUUCCCUUCUUUAUAUCAUAUCCAAGUAUCCUGUUUAGGGCCCAGUUGAAUGGAGAUUUGGCUUGGCCUAAAUUUAGUGCAGUGGCCCCUUGCGGGGAGAUCCAUGGCAUGUCUGUUGCUAAAGUGAGACCAACACGGAACACUGAAGUCUCUGGAAAUAAUGCCUGCGAGAAACCUCCCAACACAAUGAUUUUUGGGUCAUAUUCUAACCACGAUACUUAUGGUAUCACUGGAUAUUGGUGUUCUUCUAGUCACUGAAAAAGCAAUAAUGAAAGUAGCUUGUAUUUGAGCCCAUUCUCCGCACUAGCCUGUGUUCAUAUACAACUCACACUCUUAUGACUUUUCAAGGAAGACAUUUAUCCAUGAAGCCCACCGCAGCACAGUACCUGGCAAAUAGGAGUUAUUCAAUAAAUACAUGCUAGACUGGAUUAAAUAUCUAGGAAGCAGCAUCCUGGUGGGAAUAAUGACUUGGAAGCCAGUCCAGUGGUGUGAAUGGCCUGGGCUGGAGCUGGUGCUGAGGAGCCUGGUACAUGGGCCAUGGAGUGAGCACUGGGAACCAGGGAGAGUGGUAGAGUGGAAAAGCCAGGAUGGAUUUCACCACUGCAUAGUAAAAAAUCGGGCUUUGCCCAAAGAGAGGUCUGGACUUUGCCUUUGGCUUCUGGAAGGUGAGUCAUACCCCACUGCCGGUCUUGUUGAAGCUGUCUUGUUUCUCAAUCACCACACUCCCUCUGCGGUGGCGACAGAGAAGCCAGGAGGCCCAGGGUUAAUAGGGGCCCCCCUCCUCUUUCUUCCUCCAGUGAUGUCUGGCCGACUUUCUCCCCACUGGGGAUUAGUCCUUCUCCUCACAGUGGGAUGAAAGGUUCAACAGCCUGUUUCUCGGGAGGCGCUUCUGGAAAACUGGCUGUAUUAAUUCUCUAUUGCUGCCCUAAGAAAUUACCACAAACUCAGUGGCUUAAAACAACACAAAUUACUAUCUGACAAUGUCUGGAGUUCAGAAAUCCAGGAUCGAUCUUAGUGGACUGAAAUCAAAGGGUGAGUGGUCUGCGUUCCUUCUGAAAGCCCUGGGGAGAAUACUUCUCUUGACCAUUCAAAGUUGUGAAAGGAUUCCGUUCCUUGAGGUAGAGGACCCAGGCCCCCGUUUUCCUGCUGGCUACAAACUGAGGGCCAUUCCCAGUCACUAGAGGCUGCCGAUCAGAACUGCCUUCCUCCAUCCUCAGUGGCCAAGUCCUUCUGAUGCUGCAUUUCUUUGGAACACUCCCCUGCUUAGAGCACUCAUGUGAUUAAAUUGAGCUUACCAGGAUAAGCUCCCAUCUCAAGGUCUUGAACCUUAGUCACACCUGCAAAGUUCUUUUGCCAUGGAAGGUAACACAGUCACAGGUUUCAGGGUUUAGGACUUGGACAUUUUGCGGGGGUAUAACUGUUACUACAAUAGCCUGGUCUACUGUUUCCUCCAGAGGAAGCUGCAUUCCAAGUAUUCUAGUGAACAGAAAUAAACUUUAAAGGCCAGAGUGCUCUGUUGAAACCCCAGCUCAGUCACUGACUAGUGUGCAAUCUUGGACAAGCUGUCUAAUGUCUCUGGGUCUGAGUGUCCUCCUCUGUAAA
rnacentral:lncRNA from 10 species